rnacentral:rRNA from 1 species
CUGGCGGCGGCUUACACAUGCAAGUCGAGCGGUAACAGGGGAAGCUUGCUUCCCGCUGACGAGCGGCGGACGGGUGAGUAAUGCUUAGGAUCUGCCCAGUAGUGGGGGAUAGCCCGGGGAAACCCGGAUUAAUACCGCAUACGUCCUAGGGAGAAAGCAGGGGAUCUUCGGACCUUGCGCUAUUGGAUGAGCCUAAGUCGGAUUAGCAGUUGGUGGGGUAAAGGCCUACCAAGGCGACGAUCCGUAGCUGGUCUGAGAGGAUGAUCGCCACAUCGGGACUGAGACACGGCCCGAACUCCUACGGGAGGCAGCAGUGGGGAAUAUUGGACAAUGGGGGCAACCCUGUCCAGCCAUGCCGCGUGUGUGAAGAAGGCUUUCGGGUUGUAAAGCACUUUCAGUAGGGAGAAAACCUUAUGGCUAAUACCCAUGAGGCUUGACGUUACCUACAGAAGAAGCACCGGCUAACUCCGUGCCAGCAGCCGCGGUAAUACGGAGGGUACCUGG